AGUGCUUGCACUUUGGCAGACUGAGUGGCGGACGGGUGAGUAACGCGUGGGUAACCUGCCUUAUACAGGGGGAUAACAGUUGGAAACGACUGCUAAUACCGCAUAAGCGCACGGUAUCGCAUGAUACAGUGUGAAAAACUCCGGUGGUACAGGAUGGGCCCGCGUCUGAUUAGCUGGUUGGCGGUGUAACGGACCACCAAGGCAACGAUCAGUAGCCGGCUUGAGAGAGUGAACGGCCACAUUGGGACUGAGACACGGCCCAAACUCC
rnacentral:rRNA from 1 species